GCGCGGGGCAGGAGGCGGGCCCUCAGCGAGGGGUAGGGAAGGGGCGGAGCGGCCAGGCCACCGGCCGGGACCUCCAUUGGGCGAGCCACGCUGAGGGAUCCACCUAAGAGCCAAUCAAAGGCACAAACAUCAGGCAAAGGGGCGGGAUCGCCAUAAGGCCCCUCUUUGGAGGUCAGAGCUCGGCGGGGUGCGGCUAGUGGCGGAGCGCACUGCGAGGGGAGGGCUUUCCACUGUGGCUGGCGUGAACUCGCGUGCCCGGUGGAUAUCAGGGAAGAACCCCCGCCCCGGACCCCCAGAUCUGCCGUGGCCGAGGUAGCGAUCGUCUCUGCUGCCGCGAAGACUGUUUUAACUUGUACCACCUUCCCCUCCAUUUUUCCUGGGGUGCCUCUCACCCUGCAUCUGCGCGUUCAGAAAGCUGGAUUUCGGAAAUGCUCAGUUCAGAAGAGAAAAAAUUGCCGGGAAUCAAGUCAUUCUUUUUGUUAGUCGGUAGUCGAUUGAUGGGAAGUGUUCAAAAUCAUUUGAUGUGGUGACAAGGAAGCAACAAGAAUGAGGGCAUUCCAGUAGCAGGAGACAGCAUGCAUAGAGAUGCUGAUGAAGAAAGAGCCUAGCGCACAUGGGAAACUGCAAAAGUUCAGACUGGUUGGAAUGCUGGAAAUGUUGUGAAUGACAGGAGAUGAGGCUGGCGAGAAAACAGAGGUCAGAUUGUGGAAGGUUGUCAAGCCAAAGACUUUGAUUUUAUUCUUGAGAUUGAUGAGAUGUGUGUAAUCCAGGAGUGUGCAAGACAAUCUGUAAGGGUUCAUAAAACAUACUGCUUCUAUGUAUAGUUACCUUUGUCUUAACUUUAAAACUUCAAAUUGUGUAGGAGUUACAAUGUGUAUAAUUGUACUGGAUCCAAAUAACUUAUAAAUAAAUAAAUAUAGACA